rnacentral:rRNA from 1 species
CAAUAGCGUAUAUUAAAGUUGUUGCAGUUAAAAAGCUCGUAGUUGGAUUUCUGGUGGGAGCGAUCGGUCUGGCGCUUAGCGCGAGUACUUGCAUCGUCUCCGGCCAUCCUUGGGGAGAGUCUGUCUGGCAUUAGGUUGUCGGGCAGAGGAUCCUCAUCGUUUACUGUGAAAAAAUUAGAGUGUUCAAAGCAGGCUUAUGCCGUUGAAUAUAUUAGCAUGGAAUAAUAAGAUAGGACUUUGGUACUAUUUUGUUGGUUUGCGCACCAAAGUAAUGAUUAAUAGGGACAGUUGGGGGUAUUCGUAUUCCGUUGUCAGAGGUGAAAUUCUUGGAUUUUCGGAAGACGAACUACUGCGAAAGCAUUUACCAAGGAUGUUUUCAUUAA